CAGUCGCCGCGGGAAUACGUAGGUGGCAAGCGUUGUCCGGAAUUAUUGGGCGUAAAGCGCGCGCAGGCGGAUAGGUCAGUCUGUCUUAAAAGUUCGGGGCUUAACCCCGUGAUGGGAUGGAAACUGCCAAUCUAGAGUAUCGGAGAGGAAAGUGGAAUUCCUAGUGUAGCGGUGAAAUGCGUAGAUAUUAGGAAGAACACCAGUGGCGAAGGCGACUUUCUGGACGGAAACUGACGCCGAGGCGCGAAAGCCAGGGGAGUAAACGGGAUUAGAUACCCCUGUAGUCCCUGUCUCUUAUACA
rnacentral:rRNA from 1 species